ACUAACAAGGAUUCCCCUAGUAACUGCGAGUGAAGCGGGAAAAGCUCAAAUUUAAAAUCUGGCAGUUUUGGCUGUCCGAGUUGUAAUCUGGAGAAGUGCUUUCUGUGCUGGACCGUGUACAAGUCUCUUGGAAUAGAGCGUCAUAGAGGGUGAGAAUCCCGUCUUUGACACGGACUACCAGUGCUUUGUGAUGCGCUUUCAAAGAGUCGAGUUGUUUGGGAAUGCAGCUCAAAAUGGGUGGUAAAUUCCAUCUAAAGCUAAAUAUUGGCGAGAGACCGAUAGCGAACAAGUACCGUGAGGGAAAGAUGAAAAGUACUUUGGAAAGAGAGUUAAACAGUACGUGAAAUUGCUGAAAGGGAAACACUUGAAGUCAGUCGCGUUGUUCAGAACUCAGCCUGGCCUUGGCUUGGUGCAUUUUCUGAAUGACGGGCCAGCAUCAAUUUUGACUGUUGGAUAAAGAUCAAGGAAAUGUGGCUCCUUUGGGAGUGUUAUAGUCCUUGGUUGCAUACAAUGGUUGGGRUUGAGGAUCUCAGCAUGCCUUUAUGGUCGGGGUUCGCCCACGUUCAUGCUUAGGAUGCUGGCGUAAUGGCUUUAAAUGACCCGUCUUGAAACACGGACCAAGGAGUCUAACAUGCCUGCGAGUGUUUGGGUGGAAAACCCGAGCGCGCAAUGAAAGUGAAAGUUGGGAUCUCUGUCGUGGGGAGCACCGACGCCCGGACCAGACCUUCUGUGACGGAUCCGCGGUAGAGCAUGUAUGUUGGGACCCGAAAGAUGGUGAACUAUGCCUGAAUAGGGUGAAGCCAGAGGAAACUCUGGUGGAGGCUCGUAGCGAUUCUGACGUGCAAAUCGAUCGUCAAAUUUGGGUAUAGGGGCGAAAGACUAAUCG
rnacentral:rRNA from 1 species